rnacentral:rRNA from 1 species
UACGUAGGGUGCGAGCGUUGUCCGGAAUUAUUGGGCGUAAAGAGCUCGUAGGCGGUGUGUCACGUCGAUCGUGAAAACUUACAGCUUAACUGUGAGCGUGCGGUCGAUACGGGCAUCACUGGAGUUCGGCAGGGGAGACUGGAAUUCCUGGUGUAGCGGUGAAAUGCGCAGAUAUCAGGAGGAACACCGGUGGCGAAGGCGGGUCUCUGGGCCGGAACUGACGCUGAGGAGCGAAAGCGUGGGGAGCGAACAGG